AGUAAAGUGUCUGAUUAAAGUUUUAAAUUGUAAAUUUAUAUAAGAAUUUUUAUUCCUUUACUA
rnacentral:tRNA from 1 species